GUGGGGAAUCUUGCACAAUGGGGGAAACCCUGAUGCAGCGACGCCGCGUGAGCGAUGAAGCCCUUCGGGGUGUAAAGCUCUUUCGACGGGAACGAUAAUGACGGUACCCGGAGAAGAAGCUGCGGCUAACUACGUGCCAGCAGCCGCGGUAAUACGUAGGCAGCGAGCGUUGUUCGGAGUUACUGGGCGUAAAGAGUAUGUAGGCGGUUGCGCAAGUUCGGUGUGAAAUCUCCCGGCUUAACUGGGAGGGUGCGCCGAAGACUGCGUGGCUAGAGUGCGGGAGAGGAGAGCGGAAUUCCUGGUGUAGCGGUGAAAUGCGUAGAUAUCAGGAGGAACACCGGUGGUGUAGACGGCUCUCUGGACCGCAACUGACGCUGAGAUACGAAAGCGUGGGGAGCAAACAGGAUUAGAAACCCUAGUAGUCC
rnacentral:rRNA from 1 species